rnacentral:rRNA from 1 species
GACGAACGCUGGCGGCGUGCUUAACACAUGCAAGUCGAACGGAAAGUCUCUGCUUUUGUGGGCUGCUCGAGUGGCGAACGGGUGAGUAACACGUGAGUAACCUUCCCUUGACUUUGGUAUAACUUCAGGAAACUGUGGCUAAUACCGGAUAGGAGCUCCUGCUGCAUGGUGUGGGUUGGAAAGUUUCGGCGGUUGGGGAUGGACUCGCGGCUUAUCAGCUUGUUGGUGGGGUAGUGGCUUACCAAGGCUUUGACGGGUAGCCGGCCUGAGAGGGUGACCGGCCACAUUGGGACUGAGAUGCGGCCCAGAGUCCUACGGGAGGCAGCAGUGGGGAAUAUUGCACAAUGGGCGGAAGCCUGAUGCAGCAACGCCGCGUGCUGGAUGACGGCCUUCGGGUUGUAAACCGCUUUCGCCUGUGACGAAGCGUGAGUGACGGUAAUGGGUAAAGAAGCACCGGCUAACUACGUG